GCGGCCGUAGCUCAGGGGAUAGAGCGAGCGCCUCCUAAGCGCUAGGUCAUAGGUUCAAUUCCUAUCGGUCGCGCCA
rnacentral:tRNA from 2 species